GCACUGUUUAUCUGUCAGAUGGAUCGAGCUGUACGAUCAGAUGCAUCGGGAUGGUCAGCUGGAGGAUACAUAAUGGUGCAGUGAAGAGAUUGGGAGAGGUUCGAUACAUACCCGAUUUCAGACAGAAUCUUAUCUAACUGAGCAGCUGGAUUCGAGAGGCUAUAGGAUGAUAGCUGGUGGAGAAAUCCUGAAUGUGUUGCAUGGUGAUAGGAUUAUUUUGGAGGAAAAGAAGAGGAUGAGAGAACAUUACUACCUAGUGGGGAGUCCAAUGCG
rnacentral:lncRNA from 1 species